GUACGCUUCUUUUUCCCCGGAGCUUGCUCCACCGGAAAAAGAAGAGUGGCGAACGGGUGAGUAACACGUGGGUAACCUGCCCAUCAGAAGGGGAUAACACUUGGAAACAGGUGCUAAUACCGUAUAACAAUCGAAACCGCAUGGUUUUGAUUUGAAAGGCGCUUUCGGGUGUCGCUGAUGGAUGGACCCGCGGUGCAUUAGCUAGUUGGUGAGGUAACGGCUCACCAAGGCCACGAUGCAUAGCCGACCUGAGAGGGUGAUCGGCCACAUUGGGACUGAGACACGGCCCAAACUCCUACGGGAGGCAGCAGUAGGGAAUCUUCGGCAAUGGACGAAAGUCUGACCGAGCAACGCCGCGUGAGUGAAGAAGGUUUUCGGAUCGUAAAACUCUGUUGUUAGAGAAGAACAAGGAUGAGAGUAACUGUUCAUCCCUUGACGGUAUCUAACCAGAAAGCCACGGCUAACUACGUGCCAGCAGCCGCGGUAAUACGUAGGUGGCAAGCGUUGUCCGGAUUUAUUGGGCGUAAAGCGAGCGCAGGCGGUUUCUUAAGUCUGAUGUGAAAGCCCCCGGCUCAACCGGGGAGGGUCAUUGGAAACUGGGAGACUUGAGUGCAGAAGAGGAGAGUGGAAUUCCAUGUGUAGCGGUGAAAUGCGUAGAUAUAUGGAGGAACACCAGUGGCGAAGGCGGCUCUCUGGUCUGUAACUGACGCUGAGGCUCGAAAGCGUGGGGAGCAAACAGGAUUAGAUACCCUGGUAGUCCACGCCGUAAACGAUGAGUGCUAAGUGUUGGAGGGUUUCCGCCCUUCAGUGCUGCAGCUAACGCAUUAAGCACUCCGCCUGGGGAGUACGACCGCAAGGUUGAAACUCAAAGGAAUUGACGGGGGCCCGCACAAGCGGUGGAGCAUGUGGUUUAAUUCGAAGCAACGCGAAGAACCUUACCAGGUCUUGACAUCCUUUGACCACUCUAGAGAUAGAGCUUCCCCUUCGGGGGCAAAGUGACAGGUGGUGCAUGGUUGUCGUCAGCUCGUGUCGUGAGAUGUUGGGUUAAGUCCCGCAACGAGCGCAACCCUUAUUGUUAGUUGCCAUCAUUUAGUUGGGCACUCUAGCAAGACUGCCGGUGACAAACCGGAGGAAGGUGGGGAUGACGUCAAAUCAUCAUGCCCCUUAUGACCUGGGCUACACACGUGCUACAAUGGGAAGUACAACGAGUCGCGAAGUCGCGAGGCUAAGCUAAUCUCUUAAAGCUUCUCUCAGUUCGGAUUGUAGGCUGCAACUCGCCUACAUGAAGCCGGAAUCGCUAGUAAUCGCGGAUCAGCACGCCGCGGUGAAUACGUUCCCGGGCCUUGUACACACCGCCCGUCACACCACGAGAGUUUGUAACACCCGAAGUCGGUGAGGUAACCUUUGAGCCAGCCG
rnacentral:rRNA from 1 species